GGGUAACGGCCCACCAAGGCAACGAUCAGUAGGGGUUCUGAGAGGAAGGUCCCCCACAUUGGAACUGAGACACGGUCCAAACUCCUACGGGAGGCAGCAGUGAGGAAUAUUGGUCAAUGGGCGAGAGCCUGAACCAGCCAAGUAGCGUGCAGGAAGACGGCCCUAUGGGUUGUAAACUGCUUUUAUAAGGGAAUAAAGUGAGCAACGUGUGGUUUUUUGCAUGUACCUUAUGAAUAAGGACCGGCUAAUUCCGUGCCAGCAGCCGCGGUAAUACGGAAGGUCCGGGCGUUAUCCGGAUUUAUUGGGUUUAAAGGGAGCGUAGGCCGGAGAUUAAGCGUGUUGUGAAAUGUAGAUGCUCAACAUCUGAACUGCAGCGCGAACUGGUUUCCUUGAGUACGCAUAAAGUGGGCGGAAUUCGUGGUGUAGCGGUGAAAUGCUUAGAUAUCACGAAGAACUCCGAUUGCGAAGGCAGCUCACUGGGGCGCAACUGACGCUGAAGCUCGAAAGCGCGGGUAUCGAACAGGAUUAGAUACCCUGGUAGUCCGCGCGGUAAACGAUGGAUGCCCGCUGUUGGGCCAACUGGUUCAGCGGCCAAGCGAAAGCAUUAAGCAUCCCACCUGGGGAGUA
rnacentral:rRNA from 1 species